rnacentral:lncRNA from 1 species
GAGAGAGGAGAUGCAAAUGUCAUUUUUGCGGGUGCACAUGGAAAAUGGGUUGAAUAAAGAGAAUAUGGAAUUUAAUUGUAAAAGUCCAGCGGCUCACGGACCACAAUCAGGAGCACACGGCUGGCCAGAAAUACAUACAGCUGAAUCACUUGGGAGCUGGAAUAAAAACAAAAGAAAAAAAAAAGAAAAGAAAAGAGAAAAGGGUUGGUCCAGCAAUUAAAUUGCAAUUGGAUAAUGAGGUGCCACAGCCCAUGCUGAUUAAAUUCUUGGAGAGGGGGUGCGUGCAGCUAAUACCAGGUUACAUGUUUGUGAAGAAGAGCAGCUCCCAUCUAGAACGCUCACGUCCAGCCUUCUUUACAGCCCACCUGCACGUUGCAAAUUCAAUUGAAGCACCAUCAACACGGCCAGCAGCUGCUUCCAUUUCUCCAUCUAGC